GACUUUGCUGAACACAAAUAUUAGGGUUUCAAAACAGGAAAACAUAUCACAACAAUUAUAUCAUCAGUAAAAGUGCCGUUUGUGUGUGAAAAAUGCAACAACAAAAAAAGUCACUUUCACUGACAAUAUCAUCGCUGUGAUAGGUUUUACUGUUUUGAAUCACUAAUAUUUGUGUUCAGCGAAGUC